rnacentral:lncRNA from 1 species
AGGGGGAUCUGCACGAGUAGCUGAGCUGAGCUGGGAGCGUCCAUCAGAGGCUACAUGCAGGGGCCCGUACAGCCUUGUGAUUGGGGCAGACCUUGUUUAUGCAGCAGGAGAUGUCCAGCCUCUGUUGACCACUCUAAGUACUGUACGGCGUUUGAAUCCUGCUUGCGUGUUGCUUAUGGCGCAUUGUGCACGGAGCAACGCAGUGGAUGAGCGUCUAUCUGAGGGGAUGCGCAGUGACGGCUUGAAACUUGCUUUAGUGGCAGCCAGCGAAAAGGACAAACGCGUGAAAGUGUUUCACAGAAGAGAUUUUUAAUAUUUGAGGUGAUUUGAUAGGCCUGCUGCGAGCAUAUUAUGCCACCUGUUGAUAUCCGUCGAUUACCAUA